rnacentral:lncRNA from 1 species
GGAGGCUGCUGGCACAUUCCCUGCAUAGCAUUUAUGGAUUGCCUGCGUGAAUAAUCCUCAACUCCAAUGAGCAUGGUGAAUAUGAGCAGAAGGAACUAGGUGUAUGUUUAAGGAUAGCCUCAUAGAAUUCUAGAGAUGAAAGCUGAAGAAAUUUUCCUGAAAAGGAUUGGGAAGGAAAAGAGGAGAGAGACCCAGGCCCUGAUCUUCCUCUGUCACUGUCGGCUUGUGACAUCUUCUCAGGCCAGCCCUAGCCAACUUUGUGAUGGUUUCCAUAGGCGUUGACCCUGGCAUCUUUUCUAACUUCCGUUGCUUCUCCAGGCGGCCAUGGCCAUCUCAUUAGACAGCAAAUGUAAAGUAUUUGGAAAAAGACAUCAUGCAAAGGUA